rnacentral:lncRNA from 1 species
AGUUCCAAGUCCAAGAUUUAUUUAUUUAUUUAUUUAAUUAUUUAUUUAUUUAAUUAUUUAUUUGUUUUUUUGUUUUUUUGUUUUUUUUUUUGUUUUUUUGGUUUUUGAAAAAAUAUUCCGAUUGCCAUGAUGAAAUGCAAAUGCUAAAUGACCUAAAAAUGAAUGCAUGCAUGAGGUGUAAAGCGUAUGCUUCCCGGAAAAAUGAAGGGUAAAUUUUG